GACGAACGCUGGCGGCGUGCCUAAUACAUGCAAGUAGAACGCUGAAGGAGGAGCUUGCUUCUCUGGAUGAGUUGCGAACGGGUGAGUAACGCGUAGGUAACCUGCCUGGUAGCGGGGGAUAACUAUUGGAAACGAUAGCUAAUACCGCAUAAUAGCAGUUGUUGCAUGACAACUGUUUGAAAGGUGCAAUUGCACCACUACCAGAUGGACCUGCGUUGUAUUAGCUAGUUGGUGGGGUAACGGCUCACCAAGGCGACGAUACAUAGCCGACCUGAGAGGGUGAUCGGCCACACUGGGACUGAGACACGGCCCAGACUCCUGCGGGAGGCAGCAGUAGGGAAUCUUCGGCAAUGGACGGAAGUCUGACCGAGCAACGCCGCGUGAGGGAAGAAGGGUUUCGGAUCGUAAAGCUCUGUUGUAAGAGAAGAACGAGUGUGAGAGUGGAAAGUUCACACUGUGACGGUAUCUUACCAGAAAGGGACGGCUAACUACGUG
rnacentral:rRNA from 1 species